rnacentral:pre_miRNA from 1 species
AAAAAGGCAAACCCUGGGUAUCCGUGUCCAACUUUGACUGUCCGUCUUAUAUGAAAUUUUUUUAUAAUUCGUAUUUUUAUUGUUGUUAGAUGAUAAAACAUGAUUAAUAUUUUAUGCGUGAUUUGUCUUUUUAUUUUUUUUCAUAAUUUUUUAAAAUAAGACGGACGGUUAAACGUUGGGCACAGAAACCAGGGUU